UUUCAACCAGCUUCAGCUUUCAACUGAUUGCAACAAGUUUAUGAACUGUUCCAAUGUUACCUCCUCUGGACCACCAUUUAACGCAAGAAGGGAUCAUCAUGGAAAUGAAGGUAGCAGCUCAUAUAAACAUUUUUCCAAAGAUGUCUGCCAUGUGCUAAGACAUCACCUGCAACAAAGCUUGCGAGAAGAUGGUCUGCCCAGAUGGACUCCAGUUGCAAUGUGAUUCGAUCUGGCUGUAGGGGCCUGUCUUUGGCCAGCAGACUUCGUGCUUCCUUAUAUCUUGGGAUGGAGAAACAACAGAAGGU